rnacentral:rRNA from 1 species
AAGUGUUGUUUUUUGAAUAUCAAAUGAAUUACUAGAUGUAAAAAUAUAAACGUAACGUAAGACGAAAUUUUGUAAGGAGAAAUUUUAUAACUGUGAUUUGCAAGUUUUUAAAAAGGGUAACCUCUUAGUUAAUUUGAAAUAUAAUUUGUGAAAUAAAACAUUUAAGUAACUAAAAAGAAAUCAACCGAGAUUUUGUGAGUAGUGGCGAGCGAAAACAAAUUUAGAGUAAGUAAAAAACUUUAAAGACAAAAAAACUAUGACAAGUUUGCGAAAAAGGUGAAAGCCCUGUAUGAAUUUAAGUUUAAAAAAAAAAGUAAAAAAAAACCAGUAAUUUUUUUUGAAGACUCUUUGGGGUACCAUUCCUCAAACUCUAAAAAUUUUUUACAAUCAAUAGUAAAAAGUACUGUAAAGGAACGUUGAAAAGAAUCUUCUCUAGAAGUGAAAAGAACAUGAAAUUUGAUAUUAAUAACUUGUUGAAGUUUUGUUUUCAAUUAAACAAAAUACCAAUUUACCUUUUGUAUCAUGAACUAGCAAGUUUAUUUUUGCAGCAAGCUUAAGUUAUAAAAACGUAGGCUUAGUUAAUACAAGUAUAAAAAACAAAAAAGUUGUAAAAAUAAAACCCGAAACCAAUUGAUUUAACCAUAAACAAGCCAAAAAUAUAAUAAAUUAUAUAUCAGGGCUGUAUUCGUAGUUGUUGCAAAAACUUGAAAUGAUUUGUGGUUAGGGGUGAAAGGUCAAACAAAAUUGGUGAUAGCUGGUUUCUUGCGAAAAAUAUUUAAGUAUUGCGUGAAAAGAAAUUUUAGAAGGUAAAGCUCUUUUAAAAUAAAAAUUUUUAUAUAUUUUGAAAAACUUUGAAUGUUUAUAAUUUUCUUUUUGCAGUCAGACUUUAUUGCGCUAAGGUUUAAAGUCAAAAGGGAAACAGCCCAGAUUAUUGUUUAAGGUCCAUAAAAAAGAAUUUAGUAUAGAAAGAACAUAAGAAGGAUUUUGCUAGAAGAUAAGCUUAGAAUCAGCUAUUCUUUAAAAAAUGAGUAAAAACAUACUAGCAUGAGUUAAUCUGACUUCUUAUAUCAAAAAUUUAUUGGCUUAAAUUCUUUGCCGAAAACAUAAACUCGAAGGAGUGGUAGCAAGACGUUUUUUAUUUCUAACUUUUAUUGAAAAAUAAAACACUAAAAAAAAAAUUGAAAAUGUUAGUAUGAGUAACGAUAAACAAUGUAAGAAUCAUUGUCACCUAAUCGAAAAGGUUUUCUAUGAAAAAGUUUAUCUGCAUAGAGUAAAUCAGUCCCUAAAAAAUAAUCGUUAGAUUUAAAUUGAUGGGUAUUAAAUUAAGAAACAUUUUAAACAAAAUGACAGAAAUUAUAAAAUGUUUUUAAUUAUUUGCUUUUAAAAAUAUGUAUAAUGUUCUCAAGAAAAAAUUAUGUUUAAUAUAUCUUUUUUUAAACUGUACUGAAAACCAACACAGGUAUUUUUUAGGUGUUGAGAUAAUCAUUUUUAAGGAACUCGGCAAAAAAAUUCUCUAACUUAGGGAUAAAGAAAGCCUUUUAAACGAGGUGUAACAAAAAGUGGAUAGCGACUGUUUUUUAAAAACACAAAACCUUGCUAAAUUGUAAGAUAAUGUAUAAGGUUUGACGCCUGCCCAGUGUUGAAUUUUGAAUCAAGAAAGUUUUUUCGGUUUUUUUGUUAUAAAUCAAUAAACGGCAGUCGUAACUAUAACGAUUCUAAGGUAGCGAAAUUCCUAGUCAAUUAAUUGUUGACCUGCAUGAAUGGCGUAACGACUUUCCAACUGUCUCAAAAAUGAUCUCAGUGAAAUUAAAUUUUGCGUGAAGAUGCGUAAUUAUAUAAACAAGACGGAAAGACCCUAUAAACCUUAACUACAAAUUUUCAUUGUUACUUUUUAUUUUUUGUUUAGUAUAAGUGGUAGCUGUUUGAAUCCUUAACGCAAGUUAAUUGAUUAGGCAACUAUGAAAUACCACUCUAAGAAUAAAAAAUAACUAAUUAAAUUGAAAGUGAAAAUUUUUUAGUUUGAUUGGGGCGAUCACCUUUUAAAUUGUAACAAAGGUCUGCAAAAUUAAGCUCAAAAUUAGUAAAAGCAAUUUUUAGAGUGUAAUAGCAUAAGUUUAUUUGACUGUAAGAUAUACAAAUCAAGCAGGAAUUGUAGUUGGCUAUAGUGAUCCGAAAAUUUUUUAUGGAAAAAUUUUCGCUUACGGAAUUAAAGGUACUUUAGGGAUAACAGGCUAAUUACUUUUACGAGUUCGUAUCAAUAAAGUUGUUUGGCACCUCGAUGUCGGUUCGUCAUAUCCUAGCGCUGAAAAUUGGUACUAAGGGUUCAGCUGUUCGCUGAUUAAAAUGGCACGUGAACUGGGUUAAAAACGCUGUAAAGCAGUUUGGUCCCUAUCUGUUUAUAUCAAAAAGAAUAAAAGAAUUUUGUUUCUAGUACGAGAGGACCGAGACAAAAAAACCAAUUGUUUUUCAGUUUUUUCGCCAGAACUCACUGAUUAGCUACGUUUUUAUUGUUUAAUUGCUGAAAACUAUAAAUGCAAGAAAACUUUUCUUUGUAAAUUCUUUUUUAAGAGUAGAAGAUUACUACUUAAGAAAUAGGCAAAAUUUAUGAAAAUAGUAAUAUUUUUAGUGAAUUUGUACUAAUUAUCUAAAAUAAAUAAUGAAUA